AUCUGCGGUGUCUGCGCGUGCGCAUGAUGGCUGACUUCCCUGCUCGAGUGAAAAUGGCGGCCUCCACAGCUCAGCUCUGAAGAGACUAGACGAGUUUCGAGUAGGCGAGAAGUCCAGCUAGGAAGAAGCUGCUCUGCAGCACUAUUUGAAAUAGUUUCGAGUGUUGCUGGCUCGGUUGUAGCAUAAAAUGAACAUAAUUAGGGAAAAUAAAGACUUGGCCUGCUUUUAUACAACAAAGCAUUCAUGGAGAGGAAGGUAUAAACGAGUCUUUUCAGUUGGAACUCAUGCCAUUACAACAUACAAUCCUAAUACGUUAGAAAUUACAAAUCAGUGGCCAUAUGGAGACAUUUGUAGCAUCAGCCCUGUUGGAAAAGGACAAGGAACAGAAUUCAGCCUCACAUUUCGUAAAGGAAGUGGGAAAAAAUCUGAAACACUUAAGUUUUCUACAGAACACAGAGCAGAACUUCUUACUGAAGCACUGCGAUUUAGAACUGAUUUUGCUGAAGGAAAAAUCACAGGAAGGAGAUACAACAGUUAUAAGCACCACUGGAGUGAUUCAAGGAAACCUGUAAUUCUAGAAGUGACUCCGGGAGGCUUUGACCAAAUUAAUCCUACAACAAAUAAAAUCCUGUGUUCUUAUGACUAUAGAUAUAUUGAAGGAUUUGUUGAUCUGUCUGAUUAUCCAGGAGGGUUUUGUAUAAUUUAUGGAGGAUUUAGUAGACUACAUUUAUUUGCUUCUGAGCAAAGGGAAGACAUUAUUAAAAGUGCAAUCGAACAUGCUGGCAAUUACAUUGGCAUCUCCUUGAGAACCCGAAAGGAGCCUUUAGAAUUUGAACAAUAUUUGAGUCUUCGUUUUGGGAAAUACAGCAGUGAUGAAUAUAUUACAUCUUUAGCAGAAUUUGUGGUCCAAAAGAUAUCUCCAAGGCAUGCGGAACCAGUGAAACGGAUAUUAGCUCUUACAGAAACAUGCCUGGUGGAACGUGACCCAGCUACAUACAAUAUUGCAACACUAAAACCUUUAGGAGAGGUAUUUGCGCUAGUAUGCGAUUCUGAAAAUCCACAGCUUUUUACCAUAGAAUUUAUCAAGGGACAAAUCCGAAAAUACUCUUCAACAGAGAGGGAUUCACUGUUAGCCAGUUUGCUGGAUGGAGUAAGAGCAUCUGGUAAUAGGGAUGUUUGUGUGAAAAUGACACCAACAGAAAAAGGGCAGCGAUGGGGCCUUUUGAGUAUGCCAGUAGAUGAGGAAGUUGAAAGCCUUCAUCUAAGAUUUUUGGCAGCACCUCCAAAUGGCAAUUUUGCAGAUGCUGUCUUUAGAUUUAAUUCUAACAUUUCAUACAGUGGAGUUCUUCAUGCAGUGACACAAGAUGGUCUCUUUUCUGAAAACAAAGAAAAGCUAAUAAAUAAUGCUAUAACAGCAUUACUCUCCCAAGAAGGUGACAUUACAGCAUCUAUUGCAGAACUUGAAAGCCAAUUCCAAGCUGUUAGAAGAUUAGUUGCCUCCAAAGCUGGAUUUCUUGCUUUCACACAACUUCCAAAAUUUCGAGAGCGCCUGGGUGUAAAGGUAGUAAAGGCUCUUAAAAGGAACAAUGAUGGAGUUACGCAUGCUUCCAUUGAUAUGCUUUGUGCCCUGAUGUGUCCUAUGCAUGAUGACUAUGACUUGAGGCAAGAACAGUUAAACAAGGCAUCACUUCUUUCUUCAAAGAAGUUCUUGGAAAACUUGUUGGAGAAAUUUAAUUCCCAUGUGGAAUAUGGAACAGGUGCCCUAGUUAUUAGUUCGCUUCUGGACUUCCUUACUUUUGCACUUUGUGCUCCUUAUAGUGAAACAACAGAAGGGCAGCAGUUUGAUAUGUUAUUAGAGAUGGUUGCAUCUAAUGGAAGAACCCUCUUCAAGCUCUUUCAGCACCCUUCCAUGGCCAUUGUGAAAGGAGCUGGAUUGGUUAUGAAGGCAAUAAUAGAAGAGGGAGAUAAAGAAAUAGCAACUAAAAUGCAAGAACUUGCUCUCAGUGAAGGUGCCUUACCUCGCCACUUGCAUACCGCUAUGUUUACUAUAAGCACUGAUCAAAGGAUGCGUACCAAUAGACAGCUGAGUAGACAUCUAGUGGGUCUUUGGACAGCUGAAAAUACAACUGCUUUGAACUUACUGAAGCGUAUCUUGCCAUCAGGUUUACUUGCUUACUUGGACAGUAAUGACCCUGUUCCGGAAAAGGACUGGGAUCGGAUGCAUAUUAGGGAUAACUUAAAAAUUGCAAAUGAUCAGUAUGGGAAGUUUAAUAAAGUGCCAGAAUGGCAACGACUUGCAGGAAAAGCUGCUAAAGGGGUUGAAAAAUUUGCUAAAGAGAAGGUGGAUUUGGUUUUGAUGCACUGGCGAGACAAAAUGGGAAUAGCACAAAAAGAGGAUAGAAACAAUAUGAACCUCAAUCAGAAGCCAGUAAUACUGAGGAAACGAAGGCAAAGGAUAAAAAUACAAGCCAACUGGGAUCUCUUUUAUUACCGAUUUCUCCAAGAUCACACUAGAUCCAAUUUGAUCUGGAAUUUCAAAACAAGAGAAGAAUUAAGAGAUUCCUUAGAGACUGAAAUGCGGGCAUUUCAGAUUGACAGAGAACUUGGCAGCACCAAUGUCAUUUCCUGGAAUCACCAUGAAUUUGAAGUGAAAUAUGAAUGCCUGUCAGAAGAAAUUAAAAUAGGGGAUUAUUAUUUGAGAUUGCUUUUAGAAGAAGAUGAGAGUGAAGAAAGUGAAGCAAUAAAAAAAUCGUAUGAAUUUUUCAAUGAGUUGUAUCAUCGUUUCCUGCUCACUCCUAAAAUAAAUAUGAAAUGUCUCUGCUUACAAGCCCUGGCUAUUGUAUAUGGAAGGUGCUAUGAGGAGAUUGGUCCCUUUGGUGAUACUAGAUACAUUGUAGGGAUGUUGGAAAGAUGCACUGACAGACUGGAACGGGACCGGCUGAUAAUAUUCCUUAACAAACUGAUUCUUAACAAGAAAAAUGUUAAAGAGCUUAUGGAUUCAAAUGGAAUCAGAAUCCUUGUGGAUCUCCUUACUCUGGCCCAUCUUCACACAAGCAGGGCAACAGUACCAUUCCAAAGCAAUGUUAUUGAAGCAGCACCAGAUAUGAAAAGAGAGAGUGAAAAAGAAUGGUAUUAUGGCAAUGCAGAGAAAGAGAGAAGAGGCCCAUAUAGCUUUAAUGAGAUGCAGGAAUUGUGGACAGAAGGAAAAUUGACUUCAAAAACACGCUGCUGGGCCCAAGGCAUGGAUGGAUGGCGACCAUUGCAAGUUAUUCCUCAGUUGAAAUGGUGUCUACUGGCCACUGGACAAGCUGUGCUAAAUGAGACAGAUCUGGCUACACUUAUUCUCAACAUGCUUGUCACAAUGUGUAGCUAUUUUCCCAGCAGAGAUCAGGAUAAUGCUAUUAUAAGACCUUUACCCAAGGUGAAGAGGCUUCUCUCCGACAACACUUGCCUUUCUCAUAUCAUUCAGCUUUUGCUGACUUUUGAUCCCAUUCUUGUUGAGAAGGUUGCCAUAUUACUCUUCCAUAUCAUGCAAGACAACCCACAGUUACCUCGUCUUUAUCUCAGUGGAAUAUUCUUCUUCAUUAUGAUGUACACUGGUUCCAAUGUACUCCCUGUUGCAAGGUUUUUGAAGUAUACACACUCAAAGCAAGCUUUCAAAUCUGAAGAGGCAAAAGGUCAAGAUAUAGUUCAGAGAAGCAUUUUGGGGCAUAUCCUCCCAGAAGCUAUGGUGUGUUAUUUGGAAAACUAUGAAUCAGAAAAAUUUUCUGAAAUUUUUUUGGGUGAAUUUGAUACUCCAGAAGCCAUUUGGAGCAAUGAAAUGAGGCGCCUAAUGAUAGAGAAGAUAGCGGCACACCUUGCUGACUUCACCCCUCGUCUUCAAAGUAAUACAAGAGCACUUUACCAGUACUGCCCCAUACCAGUUAUCAGUUAUCCUCAACUGGAAAAUGAGCUGUUUUGCAAUAUUUAUUACCUCAGACAUCUUUGUGAUAAGCUUCGGUUUCCUGAUUGGCCAAUUAAAGAUCCUGUUAAACUCUUAAAAGAUACUCUAGAAACCUGGAAGAAGGAGGUUGAAAAGAAGGCACCUACAAUGUCCAUAGAUGAUGCUUAUGAAGUUCUGAAUCUACCAAAGGGUCAAGGGCUACAUGAUGAAAGCAAGAUCAGGAAAGCUUAUUUUAAACUGGCUCAGAAAUACCACCCUGACAAGAAUCCAGAAGGUCGAGAUAUGUUUGAAAAGGUCAAUAAAGGAUAUGAGUUUCUCUGCACAAAGUCCUCUAAAAUUGUUGAUGGUCCAGAUCCUGAGAAUAUAGUUCUGAUUUUGAAAACCCAGAGUAUCCUUUUUAACAGACACAGAGAAGAUUUGAAGCCAUAUAAGUAUGCAGGCUAUCCAAUGUUGAUUAAGACAAUCAUAAUAGAAACUUCAGAUAACCUCUUGUUUUCCAAAGAGUCUCCUCUGUUGCCAGCUGCCACAGAAUUAGCCUUCUACACAGUCAAUUGUUCAGCACUUAAUGCAGAAGAACUAAGGAGAGAGAAUGGAAUAGAGGUUUUGCAAGAAGCUUUUAAUCGUUGUGUUGCAGUCCUAACACGUUCUAGUAAGCCAGAGGAUAUGUCAGUCCAGGUGUGUGGACACAUUAGUAAAUGUUACAGCGUGGCUGCUGAGUUUGAAGAUUGCAGAGAGAAAAUUACUGAAAUGCCCAAUAUUAUUAAGGACCUCUGCAGAGUGCUGUAUUAUGGCAAGAACAUUCCACGUGUGGCUUCAAUCGGAGUAGAAUGUGUCAGCUCAUUUGCAGUGGAUUAUUGGCUACAGACACAUCUAUUCCAAGCUGGUGUUCUGUGGUAUUUAUUAGGCUACCUAUUUAACUAUGAUUAUACACUGGAAGAGAGUGGCAUUAAAAAGAGUGAAGACUCUAAUCAGCAGGAAGUAGCUAAUACCCUUGCCAAACUCAGUCUCCUUGCUUUGAGUCGACUUGGUGGAUACCUUUCUGAAGAGCAAACUACACCUGAGAAUCCAGCAAUCAGAAAAAGUCUUGGAGUCCUGUUGACCCCUUACAUUACAAGGAAACUUGCUGUGGUCAGUCCUGCUGAGAUUCUGAAAAUGCUCAACAGCAACACAGAGAGCCCUUACUUGAUCUGGAAUAAUCGGACAAGAGUUGAACUCCUUGAAUUCUUGGAAUCUCAGCAGGAAAGCAUGAUUAAAACAGGUGAAUGUGAUAAAAGUUAUGGAUCUGAAUUUGUCUUCAGUGAUCAUGCAAAAGAACUUAUUGUAGGAGAGAUUUUUGUUAGAGUUUACAAUGAAGUUCCCACAUUCCAGUUAGAGCUUCCAAAAGCAUUUGCUGCAAGCCUUUUGGAUUAUAUAGGGUCUCAAGCCCAGUAUCUUCAUACAUUAAUGGCCAUAACUCAGACAGGGAAAGUUGAAUCUAACCAACAUGGAGAGCGACUCAGAAGAGUUGAAAUGGCUCUGGAAGCUCUGAGAAAUGUGAUAAAGCACAACUCAGGUUCAGAAUGUGAAUGUAUAGGUCACUUUAAGCUGUUAUUUUCCCUUCUACGUGUCCAUGGAGCUGGUCAAGUGCAACAGUUGGCUCUAGAGGUGGUGAACAUUGUGACAAGUAACCAAGAUUGUGUAAAUAAUAUUGCAGAAGCAAUGGUUCUUUCCAACUUACUAGCUCUCCUGCAUUCAUUGCCUUCAAGUCGGCAGCUAGUUCUUGAAACUCUGUAUGCUUUGACAUCUAGUACCAAAAUAGUUAAAGAAGCUAUGCUAAAAGGUGCAUUAAUCUACUUACUUGAUAUGUUCUGUAAUUCAACACAUCCACAAGUUCGAUCUCAGACAGCAGAGCUUUUUGCUAAAAUGACAACAGACAAGCUGGUUGGUCCAAAGGUUAGAAUUAUCCUAAUGAAAUUUCUACCUGGUGUCUUCAUGGAUGCUAUGAGAGAUAAUCCUGAAGCUGCUGUUCACAUUUUUGAAGGAACACACGAAAAUCCAGAGUUAAUAUGGAAUGAUAGCUCCAGAGAGAAAGUAUCUACGACCGUUCGCGAAAUGAUGCUAGAGCACUUUAAGCUGCAAAGGGACAAUCCUGACAUUAACUGGAAGUUGCCUGAGGACUUUGCUGUUGUAUAUGGUGAAGCAGAGGGUGAACUGACUGUAGGGGGUGUCUUCUUAAGAAUCUUUAUUGCCCAGCCAGCCUGGGUCCUACGGAAACCUAGAGAAUUUCUCAUUGCCUUAUUAGAAAAAUUCACUGAACUACUGGAGAAGAAUAAUCCCCAUGGGGAAACUUUGGAAACAAUAACAACAGCAACAGUAUGCCUCUUUAGUGCUCAGCCUCAGCUAGCAGACCAGGUUCCUCCACUGGGUCAUCUUCCCAAAAUUCUUCAAGCUAUGAAUCAUAAGAACAAUGCUAUUCCUAAAAGUGCUAUGCGAGUCAUACACAUACUAUCAGAUAAUGAGCUUUGUGUUCGUUCAAUGGCAGUGUUAGAGACCAUUUGCCCUUUGAUGAAUGGAAUGAAGAAAAGAUCAGAUAAUGUUGGCAUAGCCUGUGAAGCACUUAAUCGAAUGUUUCAAAAGGAACAAAAUGAUCUAGUAGUCCAAGCCUUGAAAGCAGAUUUAGUACCCUAUCUCCUAAAAUUGCUUGAAGGUGUUGGCCUUGAGAAUCUGGAAAGCCCUUCAGCUACAAAAGCUCAAAUUGUUAAAGCACUGAAAUCAAUGACUCGCAGUUUACAGUAUGGAGAACAGGUGAAUGAAAUCCUGUCUCAAUCUUCCAUAUGGAGUGCCUUCAAAGAUCAGAAACAUGAUUUGUUCAUAUCUGAAACUCAGACAGCAGGAUACCUCACAGGUAUCUCCUCUCCUUCCCUUCUAUCUGGUAGCAGUCCCCUUCAUCUCAGAAGUGGGCUUUAAAUCUCCUUUUGGCAGGCAGCUUGCUAAACUUCUCUCUUGCAUUCACUAAAGCAGGUCCUGGAGUUGCUGGCUAUCUUACUGCAGGGAGGCCUUCAUCUGUUAUGCCCAAUGUUCCACCUCCUGUAGAUCACGAAGCUGGAGAUAUUGGCUAAGGGAUAUGAAUGGCCUACAUAAGGGACUCAAAGGCAAAGAUUUAUUGGCUUAAAUCUUUAGAAUAAAUUUUGCCUGCCUUUCCCAGUUUCAAAACAGUGUUAUUCCUUUUUCUAUGAAUAUUCUUUUUUAGAAAAUUUACAAUUCUACUGCAUUGUAACAUAAGAAAGUACUUUGUGGAUCAGCCUAAAAGAGUACACAAGAUUUUUUUUCUUGCUGUACAUAAGCACAUUUAUUUCUUAUAUUUUUGUUUACAAGACUGUGAAUCAAAACAAUUUUGCUAAUAUUUUGUAUUAUAUUAAUUAGCAUGACUGAAGUUGAACUGCAGUCUCAAAGAAUUGGCUAAAUCAUUUGAUCCUCCCAAAUUGCACUAGAAGUUUCUUUCUUCAAUGCUUCAAGUUGGACUUGACCAUCCUCUGAGAACUUGACUGGCUUGAUGUUGUUUGUCUAUAUCCCCAAUCACUAGCAUAAAUAAGAUCCUCAUGUGUUUAACUGGCUUUACCAAAUCAAAAAACUAAAAUACAGCAAAAUUAUAUUUAAAAAUUACAUGGUGUAUAAAAACAUUGUGUCAUUGUGAUAUGUUCUAUACAUUAUUCAGUAUAUAAAACUUUCUAUAUUGAAUGUACAUUAUACAAAUCAUUCAUAUGUAUAUAAAAUUUAAAAGAAUAAAGGGAACUGAAAGCCUUGUUGAAACAA